ACAAGUACCGAUCGAUCACUCUGGUACCAACUGUCACCCUCGCUUGGGUGUCGGGCCUCGGCCCGGCUCCCCGGCGGGCGUCGGUUCCCUGGCUGGGGCUCUGCCGCAGUUCAGGUCCGGCGGGCGUGACCCCCAAAUGUAUUUUUGGGGCGUUUGCGUCGGUAAUUUGUAUCCAACUCAACCCACCCCAAAACCUCAAACCCCACUGAAGCAUCCGUGGCAGCCGGCUCGUCCGCCUGUCCACUCCAACCAAAGACAACUCUCAACAACGGAUAUCUUGGCUCCCGUAUCGAUGAAGAACGCAGCGAAAUGCGAUACGUAGUGUGAAUUGCAGAAUUCCGUGAACCAUCGAAUCUUUGAACGCAAAUUGCGCCCGAGGCUUCGGCCGAGGGCAUGUCUGCCUCAGCGUCGGUUUACACCCUCGCCUCCCUUGCCCCUGUGCAAGGGGGGCGGACCUGGCCCUCCUGGCUCCGCGUCCCUCUCCAGGGGCGCGUCCGGGUCGGCUGAAGUGCAGAGGCUUGAGCAUGGACCCCGUUUGCAGGGCAAUGGCUUGGUAGGUAGGCACCCCCUACGCACGCCUGCCGUUGUCCGAGGGGACUUUGUUGGCGGCCCAGCAGGAAUCGGUGGCCCGCCGUGAGGCGGCCCCGACGAACUUACACCUUCGACCUGAGCUCAGGCAAGAUUACCCGCUGAAUUAAAGCAUAUAA
rnacentral:rRNA from 1 species